ACUCCUACGGGAGGCAGCAGUGGGGAAGUAUUGGACAAUGGGACGAAAGGACCUGAUCCAGCCAUGCCGCGUGUGUGAAGAAGGUCUUCGGAUUGUAAAGCACUUUAAGUUGGGAGGAAGGGCAGUUACCUAAUACGUGAUUGUUUUGACGUUACCGACAGAAUAAGCACCGGCUAACUCUGUGCCAGCAGCCGCGGUAAUACAGAGGGGUGCAAGCGUUAAUCGGAAUUACUGGGCGUAAAGCGCGCGUAGGUGGUUAGUUAAGUUGGAUGUGAAAUCCCCGGGGCUCAACCUGGGGGAACUGCAUUCAAAACUGACUGACUAGAGUAUGGUAGAGGGUGGUGGAAGUUUCGUGUGUAGCGGUGAAAUGCGUAGAUAUAGGAAGGAACACCAGUGGCG
rnacentral:rRNA from 1 species